rnacentral:rRNA from 1 species
GAUGAACGCUGGCGGCGUGCCUAAUACAUGCAAGUCGAGCGAAUGGAUUAAGAGCUUGCUCUUAUGAAGUUAGCGGCGGACGGGUGAGUAACACGUGGGUAACCUGCCCAUAAGACUGGGAUAACUCCGGGAAACCGGGGCUAAUACCUGAUAACAUUUUGAACCGCAUGGUUCGAAAUUGAAAGGCGGCUUCGGCUGUCACUUAUGGAUGGACCCGCGUCGCAUUAGCUAGUUGGUGAGGUAACGGCUCACCAAGGCAACGAUGCGUAGCCGACCUGGGAGGGUGAUCGGCCACACUGGGCCUGAGACACGGCCCAGACUCCUACGGGAGGCAGCAGUAGGGAAUCUUCCGCAAUGGACGAAAGUCUGACGGAGCAACGCCGCGUGAGUGAUGAAGGCUUUCGGGUCGUAAAACUCUGUUGUUAGGGAAGAACAAGUGCUAGUUGAAUAAGCUGGCACCUUGACGGUACCUAACCAGAAAGCCACGGCUAACUACGUGCCAGCAGCCGCGGUAA